rnacentral:rRNA from 1 species
UACGUAGGGGGCAAGCGUUGUCCGGAAUUAUUGGGCGUAAAGAGUACGUAGGCGGUCUGUUAAGCGCAAGGUGAAAGGCAUAGGCUCAACCAAUGUGAGCCUUGCGAACUGGCAGACUUGAGUGCAGGAGAGGAAAGCGGAAUUCCUAGUGUAGCGGUGAAAUGCGUAGAUAUUAGUAGGAACACCGGUGGCGAAGGCGGCUUUCUGGACUGAAACUGACGCUGAGGUACGAAAGCGUGGGGAGCAAACAGG